AUAGAACACUAUACCUGGAAUGGUAUGUGUUCCAAAUGAUUUAUCGCCAUAGGAUGGGACUGCGGCCUAUCAGUUUGUUGGUGAGGUAAUGGCCCACCAAGACUAUUACAGGUACGGGCUCUGAGAGGAGUAGCCCGGAGAUGGGUACUGAGACACGGACCCAGGCCCUAUGGGGCGCAGCAGGCGAGAAAACUUUGCAAUGUGCGAAAGCACGACAAGGUUAAUCCGAGUGAUUUGUGCUAAACGAAUCUUUUGUUAGUCCUAGAAACACUAACGAAUAAGGGGUGGGCAAGUUCUGGUGUCAGCCGCCGCGGUAAAACCAGCACCUCAAGUGGUCAGGAUGAUUAUUGGGCCUAAAGCAUCCGUAGCCGGCUCUGUAAGUUUUCGGUUAAAUCUGUACGCUUAACGUACAGGCUGCCGGGAAUACUGCAAAGCUAGGGAGUGGGAGAGGUAGACGGUACUCGGUAGGAAGUGGUAAAAUGCUUUGAUCUAUCGAUGACCACCUGUGGCGAAGGCGGUCUACCAGAACACGUCCGACGGUGAGGGAUGAAAGCUGGGGGAGCAAACCGGAUUAGAUACCCGGGUAGUCCCAG
rnacentral:rRNA from 1 species